GCCCCGAUGGUGAAAUUGGUAGACACAUCGCACUUAAAAUGCGCCGCCGUAAGGUGUGCCGGUUCGAGUCCGGCUCGGGGCACCA
rnacentral:tRNA from 2 species